UGCUGCAUGGCUGUCGUCAGCUCGUGUCGUGAGAUGUUGGUUAAGUCCCGCAACGAGCGCAACCCUUGUCAUUAGUUGCUACAUUCAGUUGGGCACUCUAAUGAGACUGCCGGUGACAAACCGGAGGAAGGUGGGGAUGACGUCAAGUCCUCAUGGCCCUUAUGGGUAGGGCUUCACACGUCAUACAAUGGUCGGUACAGAGGGUUGCCAAGCCGCGAGGUGGAGCCAAUCCCAGAAAGCCGAUCGUAGUCCGGAUUGUUCUCUGCAACUCGAGAGCAUGAAGUCGGAAUCGCUAGUAAUCGCGGAUCAGCAUGUCGCGGUGAAUACGUUCCCGGGUCUU
rnacentral:rRNA from 1 species